rnacentral:rRNA from 1 species
CGUGUAGGCGGUCUUUUAAGUCUCAUGUGAAAGCCCCGGGCUCAACCCGGGAAGUGCAUGGGAUACUGGGAGACUUGAAUACGGGAGAGGGUAGUGGAAUUCCUAGUGUAGGAGUGAAAUCCGUAGAUAUUAGGAGGAACACCGGUGGCGAAGGCGGCUACCUGGACCGAUAUUGACGCUGAGACGCGAAAGCGUGGGGAGCAAACAGGAUUAGAUACCCUGGUAGUCCACGCCGUAAACGAUGAGAACUAGGUGUUGCGGGUAUUGACCCCUGCAGUGCCGCAGCUAACGCAUUAAGUUCUCCGCCUGGGAAGUACGGUCGCAAGACUAAA